rnacentral:rRNA from 1 species
UAAACUUCUUUUAUUAAGGACGAAAAAUGACGGUACUUAAUGAAUAAGCUCCGGCUAACUACGUGCCAGCAGCCGCGGUAAUACGUAGGGAGCAAGCGUUGUCCGGAUUUACUGGGUGUAAAGGGUGCGUAGGCGGCUUUGCAAGUCAGAUGUGAAAUCUAUGGGCUCAACCCAUAAACUGCAUUUGAAACUGUAGAGCUUGAGUGAAGUAGAGGCAGGCGGAAUUCCCCGUGUAGCGGUGAAAUGCGUAGAGAUGGGGAGGAACACCAGUGGCGAAGGCGGCCUGCUGGGCUUUAACUGACGCUGAGGCACGAAAGCGUGGGUAGCAAACAGGAUUAGAUACCCUGGUAGUCCACGCUGUAAACGAUGAUUACUAGGUGUGGGGGGUCUGACCCCUUCCGUGCCGGAGUUAACACAAUAAGUAAUCCACCUGGGGAGUACGGCCGCAAGGUUGAACCUCAAAGGAAUUGACGGGGGCCCGCACAAGCAGUGGAGUAUGUGGUUUAAUUCGAAGCAACGCGAAGAACCUUACCAGGUCUUGACAUCCAACUAACGAAGU